GGAAAGAGGAAAUUGCACAGCUUGAAAACAAGGUGACGUCUAAGUACCUAACUGGCUGGACCUCACACAGGGAAGGGCUGCAAGUACAAAGUCCUGCACCAGACUGCAAUCUAUCAGAGCAACUUUCAGUUCACUCCAGCCUCUUUCUUUGGGUUGUUUUUGAUGGUUGACAUUUUUCUGUUCUAUUUGCGUAAGGAUUUUUUAGUUUUUAUAUUAUAAAACUGCAUCCAAGCUUCCUGGCGUGCUGUGCCCUACCCCUAAAAAGUGGGCUUCCUUUUGAAUGAAUGCACUCCUGCCACUUCCAUAAUCUCUGACUCAUAAUCCAUUGUACAGUUGGGAAGGUGCCAUGAGGCUGCAACACUGUCUCUCCUGGAGCCUCUCUCUGCUACCUCUGCUCUUGUUGUCUUGUGGGUACCAGUGCGUGUCGGUCCACUUCCAGACCCCGCAGCCGGUCAAUGUUCUCCCAGCCGGACGUCUAGUUCUCCAGGUCCAGAUCGACCGCGGUCCCAAAGAAAAGAUCUCCAUGAUAAACUGGGAGCGGGAGCCAGAGAACGCAAAGACCCCAGGGAAUCCUGGGAAGGUGACGUUGAUUACGUUCCCCGGUCAAGAAAAACGCUUGGACGGGCGUCUGAGUUUGGAGGAGCAGGGGUCAAUACUGAAGCUGGAGGGCUUUGGCGUGGCAGACAGUGGGGUGUACAUCGUGACCGUCACUGACCAGGCUGGCGUCAAGACCUCUGGACAGUGUACCGUCAAGGAGUACGGUACGACGGUCAACAUGGUCUAAGUAGAAUAUAUCAAAAGUGACAUUAAACCGUUGUUCCAUGUCACCUAUGCUGACGUAUUACUUAAAAUGUCACUAUAAUGACGUGUUGUUAUGUGACAACACAGACUUUCUGAUUAUGUUGCCGUUUGGAAUACAUUCCUAGAUAUUACUUCCUGUCCUCUGGAGUUAUGUUCUUAUAGAGGAUGAACUGUUGGGUCAGUUCUGCCUAAGUGCUUUCUUUGUCUUUAUAAUAUAAAUAUAUGCUUCACUGCAGUCCAACACUCAACUUUGAGUCGGUAAUAUUUCAGGUUAUCAGUCCAACGACUGUCUCGCACAAUCCCUCUUCAAUAGUUCCAAGCUCUAUAUUUGUCUCUGUCAAAUGUCUUCUUUCUAAGUAUCUGAUCUGUUUUCUCCUCACAGCCUCAUACUUCUCAAGUCACCCCCCCCAAGCCUCAGUAGACAACACGCUCAACUCACGACUCAACCACCCUCUGUCACUCUCUUUCUCCUCCUCAAUUUUCAGUUCCAACUUCCAAGUCUCACCUUUCUCACACCUGGUCUCAUUCUCUUUUCGCUGUCUCUUGUCUUUCCUCUCAGAGGCUGUGCACCACCCCUCAGUGAGAGUGAAUGUGUCCCACUCCUCCCUGUUCUGUGUGGAGACCUGGGGGACAGACCUUAAAUUCAGCUGGCUCCACGAGCGGGCAGCCAUAACCGAUGCUGUGGGACACGUUUCGCCUGAUGGGAAGACCCUCGUCGUCUCCUCCGCCCCCAUCUGUGGUCACUUCACCUGCAUGGUGAGCAACAAGCUGGGCCACAGCUCUGCCACCUACACAGCAGGUAUGGAACCCCACGCACUAACUAACCCCAUCUGUCUCUCAGUCUCUACACAAACCCCAUCUGUCUCUCAUGCCUGAUUCACAUUCCAGGACCAAACCGAGCCAAGCCAAGCUGCACUGGCACGGCCUGGUUACGCAUCCACCAUACUGUUUUUGAUGGAACCGUGCUAGAAAUAAUCAUGUUGGCCCUAUGAUGUGAAUCAGCCAUCUGUCUGUUAGUCUCUAUGCCAGUGGUCACCCACCCUGGUUAUGCAGAGCUACAGUGUAUGCAGACUGUUCCUCUAGCUAGCUAGCGUAGCUCAAGGCUGAAUCAGAUAUGGUUGUGCUAGGUUGUAAGAAAACCCUGCAGACCCUGUAGUUCUCCAGGACCAGGGUUGGUGACCAAUGUUCUAUGUAAUAGCACUGCCAAGCAUGGGUAAGAAAUAUCAUAUCUCCUUGACAGACAGAACAGGUAGGUAGGUAACUUUUCCUCAAAGGCAUUGCUGAAUGCAGAAACAGUCGAUGCCCAAGCUAGUGCCCUCACCAUUCAUAUCCAUUGAAUGUACAGCCUCGGUGUGUGUGUGAGUGGUAUGCCCUAUGUAGCGUUCGUGUUAAUACUGUAUGAACAGUGUCCAUAUUUCGAGAGCCAAGUCCAAGUGACUCCGAGGCUGUCCUAUGGACACCAUAACACGUCCCCAUAUUGUUUUGUUGUGACCUUGUCCUGUCUGGUCCGUCAGAGCCGUGUGAGAGAGAGGGCAAGAGGACCACGGUGGCGGUGGUCUCUCUCAUCAUCUUGCUGGUCUGUGGAGCAGCGCUCGCUUUUCUACUGUGGAGGUACGGUAACACACACUGACACCCUAGUCACGCGGCACAGAUACACAUUUCAUUUUGAGCUACGGUACAUACUGUAAGAUAAAGCCAUACAUAGCAAGGAAACGGAGGUCGCUGACAGACUGCAGAAUGGGAAAAGAGAAUAGAUGGGCACCUCCAAAUGGGAAGUUACAAUAUCACAUCAAGGCAUUGCACGCUUGACAUUGUCAGUACAAUAUAGGGUGGCAGGUAGCCUAGCGAUUAAGAGCGUUGGGCCAUAACCAACAGGUUGCUGGUUCGAAUCCCCGAGCCGACUAGGUGCAAAAUAUGCCGAUGUGCCCUUGAGCAAAGCACUUAUCCCUAGUUGGUCCUGUAAGUCACUCUGGAUAAGAGUGUCUUCUAAAUGACUAAAAUGUAAAAAAUGUACAGUGUGUUGUUGUAUUUACCCAUAUUAGAGUUUGUUGGUUUCUGUUUAGGAGACACAGGCGAUACAGUAACAGAGGCGAGAGGCUUCAGGAGCAUUUUGAGGACAACUUGUAAUGGUGAACCAUUGAUACCAGUACCCAAGGUAUUUCGCUACACUCCCCAACUCAAAGAUGGACUCAUAAAAGGACAGUAAGUGUACAAAACGCUUUGGGAGGAGCUUCCUUCCCUGUGAGCAGCAUGACCUUUCAGUGCAUUGGAACAAUGUGGAGAGUGAACUGCUUGUUGGCCAAUUGACGAGUUCUAAAAAUGGAAAGAGCAACUUUUGCCCGGUGUGUUGCCUGUUUUUGUAGUAGCUAUCAUUUUUACACCGCCUCGCAUUGUACUGAACUACACACUACUUUUUUUUAUAUAAUGCUCUAAAAUAAUUUGUUUUAAAUGAAAAACAAUUCCGUAUUUUGUAACUUUUGUAUAUUAUAAACAUUUUGUAUAUUUAGCUGUGUAUUCUUUGUAAUAAAAAGCACAUUUUAAACUGUGUGAAGCUUUGGUUAAAUUGAUCGCUAUUGUAAAUCCACAAUUCAGUCAGGGAAUGGGAGUCAAAGUACAAGACCUCUAUACAUAGUGAAUUUCAAAAUGAUUUGUGGCCAUGAAUAAAAGUGUGCGUGUGUGAGUUCAUGUGUGUGUCCACCUCAUCAGUACACCUCUCUGGUCAAG
ensembl:lncRNA